AGUGGGAUAGCUGGGUCAAAUAGUAGUUCCAUUCCAGGUUUUCUAAAGAAUCUCCAUACUGCUUUCCUGAGUGGUUGCACCAAUUUGCAAUCCCACCAGCAAU
rnacentral:pre_miRNA from 1 species